GCGAAGCCGUCAGGUUUGUCCUCUCUCCUCUUCCGUAGCUGCACAACGAGUGUUCCUGUAACGACCUUCUCAACCACGACCACCAGGGAAACUGCAGCCAAGGCGGACUGGCGAAUGGGGCCCUCAGCUCGGCAUCAUGCAUUCCAAAUGUCACUGGAGCCACAGGCAGUGUUUGCUGGUACAUGAACAAUCAGACAUGCGUUGGGACAACAGUUCUCAGAUAUCAGGAUGACUGCCCUCCCUAAGAUGGUGGUUUUGUAACGGCAGAGGAUCAGGCUGCAGCUCUGAUGGACCAGAUAAACCUGUGGAGCAGCAGCAGUGAUUUGUGGCAGAGGACCAAAUUCAUGAGGAAGACAUCUGGAGCCUUCAAACAUGUGCCUUUAAGAACUGGCUGAAGACAUUUUCAAUCUCAACACCUUGAGUGCAUUAUUAUGAUAUUUUGUAAAUAUUGAAUAUUUCAAUUUUAAGAAACGUCUCCUGUUUUUUUUGCUGUUGCCACUUAAUGCGUAUUCUGUCUUUAUUAUUAUUAUUUUUUGUGUUUUGUAUCAAUAUACCUGCCCUUUUUUGCAUUUACAAUGUAUUGUUUCAUAUUCUGUGAAACAUCUUGUUUUCCUGUUUCUCAAAGGAACUAUUGAAUUGAUUUUCUCCAAUAAAGUGGCAAUUCAGCUGUAA